rnacentral:rRNA from 1 species
UGCGUAGGCGGUAUAUUAAGUCAGUGGUGAAAUCCUGCGGCUCAACCGUAGAACUGCCAUUGAUACUGAUAUUCUUGAAUAUAGUUGAGGUAGGCGGAAUGUGUAAUGUAGCGGUGAAAUGCUUAGAUAUUACACAGAACACCGAUUGCGAAGGCAGCUUACUAAACUAUUAUUGACGCUGAUGUACGAAAGCGUGGGGAGCGAACAGGAUUAGAUACCCUGGUAGUCC